rnacentral:rRNA from 1 species
GACGAACGCUGGCGGCGUGCUUAACACAUGCAAGUCGAACGGAAAGGCCCUGCUUUUGUGGGGUGCUCGAGUGGCGAACGGGUGAGUAACACGUGAGUAACCUGCCCUUGACUUUGGGAUAACUUCAGGAAACUGGGGCUAAUACCGGAUAGGAGCUCCUGCUGCAUGGUGGGGGUUGGAAAGUUUCGGCGGUUGGGGAUGGACUCGCGGCUUAUCAGCUUGUUGGUGGGGUAGUGGCUUACCAAGGCUUUGACGGGUAGCCGGCCUGAGAGGGUGACCGGCCACAUGGGGACUGAGAUACGGCCCAGACGCCUACGGGAGGCAGCAGUGGGGAAUAUUGCACAAUGGGAGGAAGCCUGAUGCAGCAACGCCGCGUGCGGGAUGACGGCCUUCGGGUUGUAAACCGCUUUCGCCUGUGACGAAGCGUGAGUGACGGUAAUGGGUAAAGAAGCACCGGCUAACUACGUG